rnacentral:ncRNA from 1 species
GGGGGAGUAUGGUUGCAAAGCUGAAACUUAAAGGAAUUGAGGGAAGGGCACCACCAGGAGUGGAGCCUGCGGCUUAAUUUGACUCAACACGGGAAACCUCACCCGGCCCGGACACAGAUUGAUAGCUCUGUCACGAUUCUGUGGGUGGUGGUGCAUGGCCAUUCUUAGUUGGUGGAGCGAUUUGUCUGGUUAAUUCCGAUAACGAACGAGACUCCGGCAUGCUAACUAGUGCGGUCGGCGUGCGAUCGGCGUCCAACUUCCUAGAGGGACAAGUGGCGCUUAGUCACACGAGAUUGAGCAAUAACAGGUCUGUGAUGCCUGUGAUGCCCAGGUCUGUGAUGUCCGGGGCUACGCGCGCCACACUGAGUGGAUCAGCGUGUGUCUACCCUUCGCCGAGAGGCGUGGGCAACCCGCUGAACCCCACUUGUGAUAGGGAUUGGGGAUUGCAAUUAUUUCUCAUGAACGUGAAAUUCCCAGUAAGCGCGGGUCAUAAGCUCACGUUGAGCUCAAGCUCAAGUCCCUGCCCUUUGUACACACCGCCUGUCGCUACUACUGAAUGGAUGGUUUAGUGAGGUCCUCGGAUCGGCCAAGCCGGGGUUGGUCGCUGCCCUGGCGGAGCGCCGAGAAGACGAUCAAACUUGACUAUCUAAAGGAAGUAAAAGGUUUCCGUAGGUGAACCUGCGGAAG